rnacentral:rRNA from 1 species
GAUGAACGCUGGCGGCGUGCCUAAUACAUGCAAGUCGAGCGAACAGACGAGGAGCUUGCUCCUCUGACGUUAGCGGCGGACGGGUGAGUAACACGUGGAUAACCUACCUAUAAGACUGGGAUAACUUCGGGAAACCGGAGCUAAUACCGGAUAACAUGUUGAACCGCAUGGUUCAACAGUGAAAGACGGUCUUGCUGUCACUUAUAGAUGGAUCCGCGCCGCAUUAGCUAGUUGGUAAGGUAACGGCUUACCAAGGCAACGAUGCGUAGCCGACCUGAGAGGGGGAUCGGCCGCACUGGAGCGGAGACACGGUCCAUGCUCCUACGGGAGGCACCAGUAGGGAAUCUGCCGCAAUGGGCGAGAGCCUGACGGAGCAACGCCGCGUGAGUGAAGAAGGUCUUCGGAUCGUAAAACUCUGUUAUUAGGGAAGAACAAAUGUGUAAGUAACUAUGCACGUCUUGACGGUACCUAAUCAGAAAGCCACGGCUAACUACGUG